rnacentral:misc_RNA from 1 species
UAAAUAUACACAUACCUGACGUUGUGUGAUCGUUGCAUGUGCUACAAGUAAUAUUCUGUGUCGUAUAUGUCUUAGAAUGUUUCUACAUUCAUGUUGAUUCAAACUAGCACAAUUCAUGAAAUCAAAAAAUCCCCAACCUUGUGUGAGUGCUAUUAUCGAGUUUGAAGCUGCUCGCAAAGAUGUGCAAUAAGGUGCUUUUAGAACUAUCAAAGAUGG